AGUUGUUAUGUGAGUAGAAAUCAAAAUCAAGUCUACACAUUCCUGGAAGCGGACGUCUUGUAGGGGUCAGCAUAGAAAACCAAAACAAAAUAAAUUGUACCGCAGCCGAAAAUACAAAUUGCCCUUAAAUUCGUUCAGGCCCAGUGUAAAAGCUAGAGUAGUAAUUACAAUCGGUAAUGCAGAACUAUUCGCACCGCUUCAAUACUCCCAGUUAUCUAACUAUCUCGCUCUCGCACACAUCCGCAAGGCACGCAGACAGAAUAGAAUAGAGACAGAGCCGGGAAAAGUCCCGUUUCUAGCGGUUCGCGCAAAUUCCAGUGCACAUCGACUGUACAAUGCGUAGAUCAGCUCGUUCAUUUGGUUUUGCAAUCUCGAAGUAUUUAAACGUGCGAAAAGUCAUCAUCUAGUGCAAAGAAGUAAAGCCACGUGGACUUUCUUUAACCACGAGGGUGUUACAUAAAUCCCAGUUUGUGAACAAAACCAGAUAUUGAAGUCAGUGAAAUCAGUCUAUAUUUAGUCGCUUGCUCAGGUCAAGGCCAGAACACGCGCUUGUCGCGGGAGUUAUCGGUGACGGCACAAGCAUGCCUUCACCUCCCCCGAAACCCCCACGGGCAGCGACCUACAUAUGAGACACUCAACCCGGACACACACCGCAGCAAAGUCAUCAACCCACACUGGAUCAGCAGAGUCAGGAUUCCCAAGAAUCCAACCGAAGCACUGGAAGGGGCAUCCGGGUGAAAAGUGCCGACGCAAGGGGUUUCGCAGAACAAAAGAAUUGUACGCUAGGCUAAGAGGAAAAUUUAUUCAAAAAAUAAAAUCAUUCUGUCACCGAACUUCGAACGAGUCACUUUAAAUACUAAAAAUCCUCCUUGGCUUAAAGAUAAAACACAACAGAUCCUCGACCACGACGUAACUGGCGCAGCCGGAAAAGGAACCUAAAGGAGAUCCAGAACAUCCAGAAGAAGGAUAUGAAGAUCACCGGGGUAUUCUUAAAUAUUAUACUGUAAUGCAGGUAAGCAGCCGGCCAAGUGACUUCAAUAAGUGAGUGCAAAUGUAAAAUAAA